GAUGAACGCUGGCGGCGUGCCUAAUACAUGCAAGUCGAGCGAAUGGAUUGAGAGCUUGCUCUUAUGAAGUUAGCGGCGGACGGGUGAGUAACACGUGGGUAACCUGCCCAUAAGACUGGGAUAACUCCGGGAAACCGGGGCUAAUACCGGAUAACAUUUUGAACCGCAUGGUUCGAAAUUGAAAGGCGGCUUCGGCUGUCACUUAUGGAUGGAGCCGCGUCGCAUUAGCUAGUUGGUGAGGUAACGGAUCACCAAGGCAACGAUGCGUAGCCGACCUGAGAGGGUGAUCGGCCACACUGGGACUGAGACACGGCCCAGACUCCUACGGGAGGCAGCAGUAGGGAAUCUUCCGCAAUGGACGAAAGUCUGACGGAGCAACGCCGCGUGAGUGAUGAAGGCUUUCGGGUCGUAAAACUCUGUUGUUAGGGAAGAACAAGUGCUAGUUGAAUAAGCUGGCACCUUGACGGUACUUAACCAGAAAGCCACGGCUAACUACGUGCCAGCCGCCGCAGUAA
rnacentral:rRNA from 1 species